rnacentral:lncRNA from 1 species
AUGAAGAAACAGCUUCAGAAAAGUGACUCCUUCCUGUUACUCUCUAAGUUGUAUGAUUCCAAAGUGACAACUCCAAGGUCAUUCAGACGAAGGAGCUUAAAUGUAAAAUGAAUUUAUCAGAGGGGAAGAAUCUCAUUAUCCUGCAAUUUGAUGUUAUCACCGCCUUGCUAAUGAACACGCAGUGACAGAAAAUACAACUGUUCCAGAGGGAAGAAGAAAGAACUGGAGAUUAGAAGGGAGAGGGUAGGAUUACCCUGAAGGAGGAGAGGGGUGGUGAAAGGAAAAAAAUCCUCACGUGUGGAAGAUAAUAAGAAUGGUUUCCUCCUCUGGUGUGGCCAGUUUUUACUUGUAACCCUAUGCUGUGCUCCAGAGACAUGAAGCAAAUUCACAACCUUGAUCAUUUAUUUUAAAAUGUGCAGGAAAACUGUAGUAUACUUGAUGUGGGGUAUGUUUUAUAAAUGCAGAGGAGAAACUUUUUUGUCUCAGGGUA